CCUACGCGAGGCAGCAGUGGGGGAUAUUGGACAAUGGGGGAAACCCUGAUCCAGCGACGCCGCGUGAGUGAAGAAGUAUUUCGGUAUGUAAAGCUCUGUCAGCAGGGAAGAAAGAAAUGACGGUACCUGACCAAGAAGCCCCGGCUAACUACGUGCCAGCAGCCGCGGUAAGACGUAGGGGGCAAGCGUUAUCCGGAAUUACGGGGUGUAAAGGUGGCGCAGACGGCAGGGCAAGCCAGGCGGGCAAGCCCGGGGCCCAACCCCGGGACUGCUCUUUGAACUGGGCGGCUGGAGUGCGGGAGAGGCAUGCGGAAUUCCUGGUGUAGCGGUGAAAUGCAUAGAUAUCGGGAAGAACCCCGGUGGCGAAGGCAGCCUGCUGGACUGCGACUGACGUUGAGGCCCGAAAGCGUGGGGAGCAAACAGGAUUAGAUACCCUGGUAGUC
rnacentral:rRNA from 1 species